rnacentral:misc_RNA from 1 species
GAAAUGCGAUAAGUAAUGUGAAUUGCAGAAUUCAGUGAAUCAUCGAAUCUUUGAACGCACAUUGCGCCCGCCAGUAUUCUGGCGGGCAUGCCUGUUCGAGCGUCAUUUCAACCAUCAAGCCCCCGGCUUGUGUUGGGGACCUGCGGCUGCCCGCAGGCCCUGAAAAACAGUGGCGGGCUCGCUGUCACACCGAGCGUAGUAGCAUACAUUCUCGCUCAGGGCGUGCUGCGGGUUCCGGCCGUUAAACGACCUUCAUAACCCAAGGUUGACCUCGGCUCAGGUAGGACGACCCGCUGAACUUAAGC